rnacentral:rRNA from 1 species
CCUACGGGAGGCAGCAGUGGGGAAUAUUGCACAAUGGGGGGAACCCUGAUGCAGCAACGCCGCGUGGGUGAAGAAGUACUCCGGUAUGUAAAGCCCUGUCAGCAGGGAAGAAAAUGACGGUACCUGACCAAGAAGCCCCGGCUAACUACGUGCCAGCAGCCGCGGUAAUACGUAGGGGGCAAGCGUUAUCCGGAUUUACUGGGUGUAAAGGGAGCGUAGACGGCAAGGAAAGUCUGGAGUGAAAGCCCGGGGCCCAACCACGGGACUGCUUUGGAAACUGUGUUGCCGGAGUGCAGGAGGGGUAAGCGGAAUGCCUGGUGUAGCGGUGAAAUGCGUAGAUAUUAGGAGGAACACCGGUGGCGAAGGCGGCUUACUGGACUGUAACUGACGUUGAGGCUCGAAGGCGUGGGGAGCAAACAGGAUUAGAUACCCCAGUAGUC